CAAGUCGAACGAAUUCCGGUAGCAAUACCGGGGGAAGUGGCGAAAGGGGCAGUAAGGCAUGGCUAACCUACCCCGGGGACGGGGAUAGCCUCCCUAACGGGAGGGUAAUACCCGGCGAUGCGGCGGGGGGGCCUCCCCCUGCCGUGAAACGAGUUUCGCCUCGGGAGGGGGUCAUGUGCUAUUACCUGGUUGGCGGGGUAACGGCCCACCAAGGGGAAGAUGGCUAGCGGGUGUGAGAGCACGACCCGCGCCACUGGCACUGAGACACUGGCCAGACUCCUACGGGAGGCUGCAGUCGAGGAUCUUCGGCAAUGGGCGCAAGCCUGACCGAGCGACGCCGCGUGUGCGAUGAAGGCCUUCGGGUUGUAAAGCACUGUCGAGGGGGAGGAAAGCCGCAAGGCCUGACCUAUCCCUGGAGGAAGCACGGGCUAAGUUCGUGCCAGCAGCCGCGGUAAGACGAACCGUGCGAACGUUGUUCGGAUUCACUGGGCUUAAAGGGCGCGUAGGCGGCUUGCCAAGUCAGGGGUGAAAUCUUUCGGCUCAACCGGAAAACAGCUUCUGAUACUGGCGGGCUUGAGGGAGGUAGGGGCGGAUGGAACUUCCGGUGGAGCGGUGAAAUGCGUAGAUAUCGGAAGGAACGCCGGUGGCGAAAGCGAUCCGCUGGACCUCCUCUGACGCUGAGGCGCGAAAGCCAGGGGAGCAAACGGGAUUAGAUACCCCGGUAGUCCUGGCCCUAAACGAUGGGGACUAGGUAGUGGACUUGACAUGGGUUCACUGCCGAAGCUAAAGUGUUAAGUCCCCCGCCUGGGGAGUAUGGUCGCAAGGCUGAAACUCAAAGGAAUUGACGGGGGCUCACACAAGCGGUGGAGCAUGUGGCUUA
rnacentral:rRNA from 1 species